rnacentral:siRNA from 1 species
ACGCCUGAGGUGGUCGCAAAGUUC